rnacentral:rRNA from 1 species
UCGUCUCAAAGAUUAAGCCAUGCAUGUGUCAGUACAAGCCUAUUUAAGGUAAAACCGCAGAUAGCUCAUUAAAUCAGUCCUUAUUUACUAGACCACUCCACAUUAUUUGGGGAAACUCGGAUAACUGUGGAAAAUCUAGAGCUAAUACGUGCAAAUUGGUUUCGGACCGAGGCUCAGGCCGAGGGAAGGACGCAUUUAUUAGAAAUAAAACUGUUUUCGUUAAAACGAUGUUUUAUUUGACUCUGGAUAAUUGUGCGGAGCGCAAAAAGCUCUUUGUAGCGGCGCCAUGUCUUUUCGAGGGCCUGCCUUAUCAGCUACGAAUGUAGCGUAUUGGCCUACAUUGGCUAUAACGGGUAACGGGGAAUCAGGGUUCGAUUCCGGAGAGGGAGCCUGAGAAACGGCUACUACAUCUAAGGAAGGCAGCAGGCACGCAAAUUACCCAAUUCCAGUUCGGAGAGGUAGUGACGAAAAAUAACGAUGGGAGACUCUUCCGAGGCCUCUCAAUCGGAAUGAAUUUUAUUUAAAACUGUGGACCAGGACCCAUUGGAGGGCAAGUCUGGUGCCAGCAGCCGCGGUAAUUCCAGCUCCAAUAGCGUAUAUUAAUGUUGCUGCAGUUAAAACGCUCGUAGUUGAAUUUCCGCAGUAUCUGAAGUUGAGCGGGCCAGGCUAUUACUUAUUGUUUUAGCUUGCGUUUUCGGCUCUUCUUCUUUUGAGAGUUUGUUACCUCUCUGUGGCUUAUUUAGUUACAGUUUGGGCAGACAGAAAGUCGAUUCGCUAAAGAGUGCUCUUCAUCGAGUGUUCGGUCUGCGAUCGACGUGUUUACUUUGAAAAAAUUGGAGUGAUCAAGGCAGGCAGAGUUCCUCGCAUUAUUGCGUAGACUGCCUGGACAAUGAUGCAUGGAAUAGAGUAAGAAGCUCUUGGUUCUGUCAUUUUUGUCGGAAACGGUUUUUGAACCGAGAGAAUGAUUAAAAGGGACAGACGGUGGCAUUGGUAUUGCGGGGUUAGAGGUGAAAUUCGAGGACCCUCGCAAGACUAACAACUGCGGAAGCAUUUGCCAAGAAUGUUUUCAUUAAUCAAGAACGAAAGUUGAAGGAUCGAAGGCGAUCAGAUACCGCCCUAGUUUUAACCAUAAACGAUGUCAACUGUCUAUCUUUCUGUGUCAAUCCCACGACCGGAAAGGAAUUCCCCGGGAAACCAAAGUUUUUGGAUUCUGGGGGAAGUAUUGUUGCAAAGCUGAAACUUAAAGGAAUUGACGGAAGGGCACCACCAGGAGUGGAGCCUGCGGCUUAAUUUGACUCAACACGGGAAAUCUUACCAGGCCAGGACAUUAUGUGGAUUGACAGAUUAAGAGCUCUUUCUCGAUUUAAUGGAUGGUGGUGCAUGGCCGUUCUUAGUUGGUGGAGUGAUCUGUCUGGUUGAUUCCGAUAACGAACGAGACUCUCCCCUACUAAAUAGUCGGUUCGAUCGUAACCCUUGAGACUGAGGUUACAACGAGGUCUUGUGGCUGUUUGUACAUGUAUAUUUUCUUUUUCUUCUCGCGUCGUCGUCUUCGGAUGAUGUCGGUGUCGUAGAGAGAGGUAUGCGUGUGCGCCGAUGGCUGCUUUUCUUUGUUAUAAAUCUCCAAAACUUGGGGCGUCGACCGUAAACAUAUAUAUAAACUUCUUAGAGGGAUCAACGGCGCUAAUAUAGCCGUACGAGAUUGUGAGCAAUAACAGGUCUGUGAUGCCCUUAGAUGUCCUGGGCCGCACGCGCGCUACAAUGUAAGGUGCAGCGUGCAUUCUAUCCUACUCUGAAAAGAGCGGGCAAUCCCAUGAAAUCCUUACUCGUUAGGGAUUGGGGAUUGAAAAUGUUUCCCAUGAACGAGGAAUUCCCAGUAAACGCGGAUCAAGAGUUCGCAUUGAUUACGUCCCUGCCCUUUGUACACACCGCCCGUCGCUACUACCGAUUGAAUAUUCUAGUGAGGUCAUUGGACUGGCGCCUUCAAAACUGUUUUAUUAUCGGCACUUUGUGUUCGGUUUCUGACUCUUUUGUUCGGUCGACGGAAAGAUGUCCAAACUACAAUAUUUAGAGGAAGUAAAAGUCGUAACAAGGUUUC